rnacentral:rRNA from 1 species
AGAGUUUGAUCCUGGCUCAGAAUGAACGCUGGCGGCGUGCCUGAUACAUGCAAGUCGAGCGCGAAAGUGGCCUUCGGGCCGCGAGUAGAGCGGCGGACGGGUGAGUAACACGUGGGUAACCUGCCUUGGAGAGGGGAAUAACUUGGGGAAACCCGAGCUAAUGCCGCAUGAGCUCGCCGGACCUUCGGUGCCGGCGAGGAAAGGUGGCCUAUUCUUGAAAGCUGCCGCUCCAAGAGGGGCCCGCGUCCGAUUAGCUAGUUGGUGGGGUAACGGCUCACCAAGGCUACGAUCGGUAGCCGGCCUGAGAGGGUGAUCGGCCACACUGGAACUGAGACACGGUCCAGACCGCUACGGUGGGCAGCAGUACGGGAUAUUGCGCAAUGGGCGAAAGCCUGACGCAGCAACGCCGCGUGAAGGAUGAAGGCCUUCGGGUUGUAAACUUCUGUCAGGCGGGACGAACGAGCGGCGGUGAAUAGCCGCCGUUUCUUGACGGUACCGCCGGAGGAAGCCCCGGCUAACUCCGUGCCAGCAGCCGCGGUAAUACGGAGGGGGCAAGCGUUAUUCGGAAUUAUUGGGCGUAAAGGGCGUGUAGGCGGCUUGAUAANCCAAAGGUGAAAUCCCUCACCUCAACUGAGGAACUGCCUUUGGAACUG